UACAGAGGUCCCAAGCGUUGUUCGGAUUCACUGGGCGUAAAGGGUGCGUAGGCGGUCGGGUAAGUCUGAUGUGAAAUCUCACAGCUUAACUGUGAAACUGCAUUGGAUACUAUCCGGCUAGAGGAAUGGAGGGGAGACUGGAAUACUUGGUGUAGCAGUGAAAUGCGUAGAUAUCAAGUGGAGCACCAGUGGCGAAGGCGAGUCUCUGGACAUUUCCUGACGCUGAGGCACGAAAGCCAGGGGAGCAAACGGG
rnacentral:rRNA from 1 species